rnacentral:rRNA from 1 species
ACGGCCAUACCAUGCUGAAUAUACCGGUUCUCGUUAGAUCACCGAAGUUAAGCAUCAUUGGGCGCGGUCAGUACUUGGGUGGGUGACCACCUGGGAACAUCGCAUGCCGUU